AACCUGCUCUUAAAAAUCUCCAAUGAUGGAGAUUUUACAACUUCCCCAGGCAAUUUAUUCUAGUGCUUAACCACCCUGACAGUUAGGAAGUUUUUCCUAAUGUCCAACCUAAACCUCCCUUCCUGCAAUUAAAGCCCAUCGCUUCUUCUCCGAUCCUCAGAAGUUAAGAAGAACUAUUCUUCUCCCUCCUCCUUGUAGCAACCUUUACUGUGCUUGCAAACU